rnacentral:piRNA from 1 species
CGUUAAAUGAACAAUUAAGGUGUC